AAUUUUGGACAAUGGGGGAAACCCUGAUCCAGCAAUGCCGCGUGCAGGAUGAAGGCCUUCGGGUUGUAAACUGCUUUUGUACGGAACGAAAAGGUUUGUGCUAAUACCCUGUGCUCAUGACGGUACCGUAAGAAUAAGCACCGGCUAACUACGUGCCAGCAGCCGCGGUAAUACGUAGGGUGCAAGCGUUAAUCGGAAUUACUGGGCGUAAAGCGUGCGCAAGCGGUUUUGUAAAACAGUGGUGAAAUCCCCGGGCUCAACCUUGGAACUGCCAUUGUGACUGCAGGGCUGGAGUGCGGCAGAGGGGGAUGGAAUUCCGCGUGUAGCAGUGAAAUGCGUAGAUAUGCGGAGGAACACCGAUGGCGAAGGCAAUCCCCUGGGCCUGCACUGACGCUCAUGCACGAAAGCGUGGGGAGCAAACAGG
rnacentral:rRNA from 1 species